AUUGAACGCUGGCGGCAGGCUUAACACAUGCAAGUCGAGCGAGCGGCGGACGGGUGCGUAAUGUCUGGGAAACUGCCUUAGGGAGGGGGAUCACUACUGGAAACGGUAGCUAAUACCGCAUACCAUCAGAUGUGCCCAGAUGGGCUGCGCGAUUAGGUGGGGUAAUGGAUCACCUAGGCGACGAUCCCUAGCUGGUCUGAGAGGAUGACCAGCCACACUGGAACGGAGACACGGUCCAGACUCCGACGGGAGGCAGCAGUGGGGAAUAUUGCACAAUUGGCGCAAGCCUGAUGCAGCCAUGCCGCGUGUGUGAAGAAGGCCUUCGGGUUGUAAAGCACUUUCAGCGAGGAGGCGUUACUCGCAGAAGAAGCACCGGCUAACUCCGUGCCAGCAGCCGCGGUAAUAC
rnacentral:rRNA from 1 species